CGGAAAGUCCUUAAUGAGGACGACUUUCUCAAAGCUGAUGAUGUAAUAGUACUGAAGAAGCAUUUUGUGGGAGUCAGGGUCCCAUCUACCUCUGUCUGGGCACACAGAGCUCCUGGCCUUGCAUCCUGCCUGAGAGGUGACCUGGAUUAUUGGCUUCCCUGGUCCCCACACGGUCCUGGAUUGCUUGGUUGCCCCUCAUUCCUGGUCUACCCUGUGCCUCAUGGUGUUUGCAGCUUCUAUGGGCUGAAUUUAAUCAGUGAUUCACUGGAGCUGGAUCUGAACCCAAACCACAGGGAAGCCCUGGGCACUGAGGACAAUAAGAGCAACAGACAACAUCUCCUCUACUGCUUCUCUCUCUGCUCCACAAGGCAAGGCAGCUCUCACACAGGAGGCAUCCAGCCUAACUCCCAGCAGGGAGAGUGUGAGAUGUCUGUGGAUGAGCCCACAUUACAGUACGAUUCUGUGGGAAGACAUCUGGUAGCUUCUGAUGCAGCUGCAGCAGUCAGGACACAUGGAACUACAGUGGAGGUUGAAGAGGCAGAGAACAACCACAGAGGUGACCAGUAUGUCCUUAGCCUGGACAACAAGUGUCUGCUCAAUCAUACAGACAGCUCACGACUAUCUCACCAAGUGAAACCUGAGACUGCACACUGGUGGACCACCUGGUUCCUCAAGAGGUUAGCUCUCUCAAUGGCAUGAAGUUCAGGUGCUACCUCUUCCUAUACUGGCCUGGUGAAGACAGAACCCUGGAGGACAUUGUGGUCUGGGCAAGAGAUAUACAGCAGCCCUUUCUGUGCCAGCCAGCCUUGAAAGUUGCUUGAGAUCAUUCCAGCAUGACCAGUCUCCAGCCUUUUCCAAGCAAGUAAGUUGUUGCCCCUUACCACUUCUGCCCACCACAUCAGUCGCCUUUCCCUACCCACUUGUAGGAGAUGGGACUAGCUCUGACUUAAUCAUAGGGCUUUGGAUGGGCUCUAUUUUUCCUGUUUCUGGUUGUAAGCUACUAGGAUUCUCAGGAGCAUAAGUGUAUGAGAGAAACAAGUGUCUUGUUAGCCCUGAAGCAGCUUGGGCUCUGGUCUUAUCUGCUAGAGAUGUCGUGAAGGGACAUGGGCAGUAGAGGGAGGUCUAUGACUGCAAAGCCUGCCUAGGCUCCAAGAACCCAAACUGGGUACUGCAGAAUUUCCUAGAUCACAGCUCUGCAGUUACCCUUCUCAUGUCUUGGUUUUAACUACUGCACCCAACACAAAGCCUCCCUUGCAGUAUGUCUCAGAUCCAUUUGAGACUCCGCAAACCAGACAUCUUUGUAUGGAAUGGAAAAGAACCCUUACUGCACAUCUCAGGUUGUGGAGGCUGGUCCAUCCUGUCUGACAGUGUUUCUGAGUCACUGGUAUAGGGCUGUUUGGGGUCUCCUCUCCUCACCUUAGCCAAGGAGGUCCAGGGUCAUCAAGCAGGUACAGUCCAUGGGCUCUGAUAUGGUUCAUGGUAUGUUAUCUACUCAUGGAACCCUCAAGAUUUCUUUACUGCCCAGGGUCCAAAGAAGUAUUUGAUGUCCCUUUACUUGGAUGAGAGGAGACUUGAAUGUCACUGCUGCUCACAGGUUCUUGGUAUUUGAGCCCAAUAGUGUAUGCCUUUUUGUGAGUCAUAUCUGCACGUCCUCCUAACAUCUGUUAGAGUAGAGGAAGUCUGUCUGGCUGGGUGGGGCAGUACCUCCUCAUCUAGGCCUUCUUGUGUGCAUCUUGACCUCGGCCAGAACAUGUGGAGUUGGGACAACCAUUCAGGAUGUCAGCUGAUGCAAUGCCUCACACAGAGGUGCUGGCAGAACUGAGGGUUCUAUUCCCUGGACAUUGUGACACGAAACAGACUGAGAACAGUGGGAAGAGGAGGGUCCACAAGACUAGCUCAGGCUCCAAUCUCUAAAGAUCAGAUUUCAUCUUUCGUGCAAAAUCUGGUGAAGUAGUCCUGUACGAGACGCAUAUUACCUUCCAUUAGAAAACCUUUGGGAACAAAAACCCUAGUGUAAAGUGGGAUCUGUGCCAACUGUGGGUGCCUGGCAUCGGUCAGGUCUGGUGUCAGGAUAGGCCCAUCCACAGACAUACACAGGCACACACACACACACACAAACACACACACACACACACACACACACACAAACAAACACAUCAGUUCAUGCAAGCCUACACCCCCCCCCAAUCACCUGCUAUCUUGGGAUUUGUCCAGGCUGCCUCAACUUAGCUUCUUCCCAACACAUAUGUCCCUAAAUUGUGUGAACCAGGGGUGGUCACUCCCCUUGCUGGGUUCCCUAUUCCUCAAGUUCAGGUGAGGUCACUCUGCUCCUCCUGAUCCUUUCCUUGUCUAGAGCUUGUCACUUGACCUUCUGGUUCACAAGUGCGCCCAAGGAAGGAAUAAUCCAUGUCUCCAUGUUUACUUGGUUGCCCAUACUGCUGAUUCAUGGCAGGAGUCAAGUGUGGAAGGGUACUUGACAGGGUCUUGGU
ensembl:lncRNA